rnacentral:rRNA from 1 species
UACGAGGGGUGCAAGCGUUGCUCGGAAUUAUUGGGCGUAAAGGGUAGGUAGGUGGUCUCAUUUGUCUGGGGUGAAAGCCUUGAGCUUAACUCAAGAAGUGCCCCGGAAACGGUGAGACUAGAGUCUUGGAGAGGGUCGUGGAAUUCCCGGUGUAGCGGUGAAAUGCGUAGAGAUCAGGAGGAACACCCGUGGCGAAGGCGGCCCUCUGGCUCGACCCUGACGCUGAGAGGCGAAAGCGUGGGGAGCGAACGGG